UUUGGGAUUUAUUUUUGCAUUUCAUGUAAUUAAUUACACACUUGAUGAUCUAUAUGUUGCUCCUUUCUUCAUCUGUGGUCGUUAUUUUUGUUGCUGUUGUUGUCUUGUCAAGAAAACAGCUAUUUGUUUACGUGUGUGAACCUCUUUUCACUUCCUACCAGAGUUGCAGUCACACUGCAUGAGGCAGAAGAACAGGAACUGUAUCAUGUUUAUCCAGCCUUUGUAAAUCCAAAGUCUGCAGUAUGAUCCACAAACAUCCUGCAACAUUUGAGACAGAUCCCCUCUAAAGCGACUUUUGCAUCAACCUGUAAUUUACUGAGGAACCUCACCCCCUUCUCAUAAUUUCUACAGUGCUCAGAAAUCAGAGAUAAAUCCUGGUCAGACUCUCUGACCUCAGAGCAUUUUGGGAGAAAAUCUACAACAUAAUUUUGUAUUAAAUCAUCUGGUAAGAGUAGCUUUGAAGUGGAGACUAAUGAGGAAAGAUCAACAUGAAACUUGAUUUACUCUGCAUGUUUUCACAGACAGCUGGUCAGUGUGGUGAUGUGAGCAGUGAUAUUGAAACCCUGGAACUUUCAGUGGUUUGGUAUGUCACAGAAACCACAAGAGAAAUGACAAAUACUGCUUCCUUAAUUUCCUUAAAUCAAGAAGUGAAACAAAUCGACAAAGAUAUUAAUAAUUGUCCUCAAUCAGAAGAGAGACAGAGAACUGGCGACUGUGCUGUAGUAAAGACUAUUCUUCAGCUCUUUAGGAAAACUAAGACUUUCUGACACUUUGGGAUCUUGGUGCUGCAGCAGCUCAAUGUCUCCAUCCUGUGGAGUCAGAGCAGAAGUGCAGUAGCUGACAGCAGCUUCCUCCAUCUCACACCACAUUAACCUGAGCCUGAGAGAGUACAAGAGAGCAGCCAGUCAGUGCAGGAGCAGAUUAUCAGUUUGCAGCUGCAAAUAUGUGAAUGAGGAUCAAUGUGUGUUUACUCCACAGAUAAAGAUAGAACAUGUGUGUGUGAGAUGAUGUUUAUGUGAAUCCAGUAGCAUGGAUCCAUGUGAGGACAGAAAGGAAGGACCCCCCACCUUUAAAAACAUUCCGUGUUGGGAAUAUGACAGUCAGAGCAAAGCUCAGAGGAAUCAACCUGGACCUGGAUACGAACCUAGCUGUGUGUCCUUCAGGAGUAGCAGGUCAAAGGAUAUUAAUCCUGACUUCAAAGACAUAAUUUCAGGAGUGGAACAAGUGAACCAGCAAAGUUUAGAGGUUCCCAGUAGUCAGUCUGUGCAGCACCAUCAAAUACAGCUGGAUUUCAUAUUUCAG